rnacentral:rRNA from 1 species
GGAUUCCCCUAGUAACGGCGAGUGAAGCGGGAAAAGCUCAAAUUUAAAAUCUGGCAGCCUUUAGUUGUCCGAAUUGUAAUCUAGAGAAGUGUCUUCCGUGCUGGACUGUGUACAAGUUUCCUGGAUACGGAACAUCAUAGAGGGUGAGAAUCCCGUCCUUGACACAGAUUCCCAGUGCUUUGCGAUGCGCUCUCGACGAGUCGAGUUGUUUGGGAUUGCAGCUCAAAAUGGGAGGUAAAUUCCUUCUAAAGCUAAAUAUUGGCGAGAGACCGAUAGCGAACAAGUACCGUGAGGGAAAGAUGAAAAGCACUUUGGAAAGAGAGUUAAACAGUACGUGAAAUUGUCAAAAGGGAAACGCUUGAAGUCAGUCAUGYUUGCUUGGAUUCAGCCGUACUUCGGUAUGGUGCAUUUCCCUGUAGGCAGGCCAGCGUCCAUGUUGUUUGUCGGAAAAGGGGUGGAGGAAUGUGGCUCCUUUAGGAGUGUUAUAGCCUUCRCUCGYAUGCGAGGAUCAAUAUGGAGUAGUACAGCAUGCUUCGGUGGUGCUUGUGCUGGCRUAAUGGCUUUAAACGACCCGUCUUGAAACACGGACCAAGGAGUCUAACAUGUCUGCGAGUGUUUNGGGUGGAAAACCCAAGCGCGGAAUGAAAGUGAUAACUGGGAAACCCCCUUGGGGGAGGCACCGGUGCCCCGAGCCGACCUUCUGUGACGCAUCGGAGGCAGAGCAKAUAUGUUGGGACCCGAAAGAUGGUGAACUAUGCCUGAAUAGGGCGAAGCCAGAGGAAACUCUGGUGGAGGCUCGUAGCGAUUCUGACGUGCAAAUCGAUCGUCAAAUUUGGGUAUAGGGGCGAA